UGAUGAUGAUGAUGAUGAUGAUGAUGAUGAUGACCACCAUGAUGAUGAUGAUGAUGAUGAUGAUAAUGAUGACCAUCGUCAUCAUCAUCAUCAUUACUA
rnacentral:pre_miRNA from 1 species